rnacentral:rRNA from 1 species
UCGGGAAUUUUGGACAAUGGGGGCAACCCUGAUCCAGCAAUGCCGCGUGAGUGAAGAAGGCCUUCGGGUUGUAAAGCUCUUUUGUCAGGGAAGAAACGGUAGUAGCGAAUAACUACUACUAAUGACGGUACCUGAAGAAUAAGCACCGGCUAACUACGUGCCAGCAGCCGCGGUAAUACGUAGGGUGCAAGCGUUAAUCGGAAUUACUGGGCGUAAAGCGUGCGCAGGCGGUUGUGUAAGUCAGAUGUGAAAUCCCCGGGCUCAACCUGGGAAUUGCAUUUGAGACUGCACGGCUAGAGUGUGUCAGAGGGGGGUAGAAUUCCACGUGUAGCAGUGAAAUGCGUAGAUAUGUGGAGGAAUACCGAUGGCGAAGGCAGCCCCCUGGGAUAACACUGACGCUCAUGCACGAAAGCGUGGGGAGCAAACAGGAUUAGAUACCCCCGUAGUCCCUGAGCGGGCUGGCAAG